rnacentral:rRNA from 1 species
AUUGAACGCUGGCGGCAUGCCUUACACAUGCAAGUCGAACGGCAGCACGGGUGCUUGCACCUGGUGGCGAGUGGCGAACGGGUGAGUAAUACAUCGGAACAUGUCCUGUAGUGGGGGAUAGCCCGGCGAAAGCCGGAUUAAUACCGCAUACGAUCUACGGAUGAAAGCGGGGGACCUUCGGGCCUCGCGCUAUAGGGUUGGCCGAUGGCUGAUUAGCUAGUUGGUGGGGUAAAGGCCUACCAAGGCGACGAUCAGUAGCUGGUCUGAGAGAACGACCAGCCACACUGGGACUGAGCCACGGCCCAGACUCCUACGGGAGGCAGCAGUGGGGAAUUUUGGACAAUGGGCGAAAGCCUGAUCCAGCAAUGCCGCGUGUGUGAAGAAGGCCUUCGGGUUGUAAAGCACUUUUGUCCGGAAAGAAAUCCUUGGCCCUAAUACGGUCGGGGGAUGACGGUACCGGAAGAAUAAGCACCGGCUAACUACGUG